GAUAAUUUGUUUCCAUAUCUUGUACUCAAAAAACUAAACACCCCGAAGGAAAAAAAAAAGUUAUGACAAACCACCUGAUAAGUAUUUUGUCAUUGCAAAUUGAGCAAGCAGUAAACAUGUGACUAAAUCAAGCAAACAAAAAUAAAAAUCCACCUGGAACAAAACCUCAAAACCUACCUAAAACGUAAGAGAACUAUUUUUAAAAACCUAGCUAGAUGAUCUACAUGAUCUACUAAUUCAAAUAACUAAUUAAGCUUUGGAAGGCGCCUUGGGUGGAGAGUGUUGAUCAGCGCAACUUUGUCUGACGGCAGGAACAUAAUAUCUAUUGUUGAACUGGUCUAACAUCAAGCCAAAACAAUUCUGAUCAAUUCCAUCGAUGGCAGCGCAACAAUCUGGUCCAAUGCGACUAUAAUCGCCAGUAAAAAAGGCAGACAUCAGGUCUCCCACUAAUCUGUCUAUGUCAGUUAGUGAUGACCAACAUUUUUCAUAAUCUUCUUGAGUUGGUGGUUUCCAUGUCGGCAGUGCCGGAACUUGUGGUGGCGGUGGCGUCAAAGGCUGCCCAAAGUAGAACCAAAGCCGUGAGACUGCCUUUGGAUGUGCCGCAUGUGAGACUGUCUUUGGAUGUGCAUGUGCAGCACGAUCAUGAAGGAAUUGGGUGACAUAGGGAGGGUUAUGCCUCCCAAACCCUACAUUGAACAACAAUGCUGAGCUCACAAAAAGCAACACAAUGGAGAUUGAAAUCCUCAUAUUGAUCAAUGAUAUUAUUCUCUCUCCCUGUCAAUUGUGCUUCUACAUGUUGCUCUAGUAGGGUUUUUAUAGUUUGUCAAGUAGAGUUGGACUAGGUUACAACCUCAUCAACUUACAUUUUUUAUGUGAAACACUCAAGCACUUGUCUUCUAUUCAAACUCAUAAAGGGGUUUUUAAUAUGUGACCAAUAUCCCCUGAAAAUAAAAAUAAAAAUAAAAAUAUUUGUGUUUCUUCCUACGUUGCUCAUUUUCUUGAACUCAAAAAAAACUAUAAUCAUUUUGAAUAAAAUUUAUGUUGUUUUGAAUAUAUAUAUAUAUAUAUAUAUAUAUUUAUUUAUUCAAUUUGUGCCGGCUGAGAGAGAGGAGAGAGAGAUUUUUAUUUUUAAUUUUUCAAUUUUUUUAUUAAUAUUUUUUUACACAUAAGCAAAAAAAUUGGACCCCAUAAAUGACACGCCAUCACUUAACGGAUCUUCUAACGGUAGAAACAUAUUGUAACAAAUUUUAAAUGUGGAGGUACUUCAUUGUUAUAAUUGAAAAUAUGGGGACAAACAUGCCUCAAGAGUACAACUUCAGGGUACCAAACUGAAAUUACCCCUAAAUAUUUUAUUUAAAAAAAAUUAAAAAUUAAAUAUUAUUUAUCAAGUAAUAUAAUUUAUGAAGUUAACUAAAAUAUUUAAUACUACUUAUUCACUAAAGAAAUAAUAAAUAAAACAUAAUUAAUAAGGCUAAGAUAUUAUUUAAUUACUAAAAAUAAAAUUUUAUUGACUUAAAGAUACUAAGUUAAAUUUUUUUUAAAAAAAAAACUCUCCAGACGAAAUUCCGUCGGCACAAUCUAUCCCAGCGAAACUUUGCCAGGUUAGACCUAUCGUGACGAAACUUCGCCGGCACAGUUAAAUUUCGUUGGGAAAUGUAUAAUCCGGCAAAUACGGCUUACAUACCUUUGUCGGCGAAAUUUCGUCGGGAUAGGUUUUUCUUGCUUUUUUAAAAAUAUAAAAUUAGUUUCUUUGCUAUUCUGUACAAGUAGAGUAUUUUAACAGUAUAGCCACACGGCUAUACUCUAUAAAUAGAAAUUUUAACAGCAUAGCCGUGCGGCUAUGCCCUUGAAAUAGAAUAGUCUAAAAGUACAGCUGCGCGUCUAUACAUUUUUUUUUUAAAAGGGGAAAAACCGAGUAUAGCCUAUUUAAAACAAAAAAAGGACCCGCUUUGGGCGUCACGUGUCAGAAAAGGUAUGGCCGAUCAGCUAUACUUUUUUUUUCAAAAAACCGUAGUAUAGCCGAACGGCUGUACUAUUUUAAAUAAAAUUAAAAAAACUGAGUAUAGCCGCCCGGCUGUACUAUUUUUAAAAAAUAGAAAACCCCGUUUAUAGCCGACCGGCUAUACUUUUUUUUUAAAACAAAAGGAGGACCCGCCUAUUGCCUGGGUGCCCACGUGUCAAAAUAGUAUAGCCGCCGCCUGGCUAUACCCUUUUUUGUUUUAUUAUUUAUAAUAUUUAUUUAAAAUUUCUUGAGUUCAAAGAUAACUUGAUUCUUACAUCAUUCGGCCUUUCAUAAGAUGAAGUUGGUUCUAUAUGAAGAAAAAUAAGAUUGUUUCAUAAAAAGAAUAGACUAAUUUAAAGGAUUGUUGUUGAUGACAAACAAUCACAAUAUAACUAAAUAACAUAAUAAAACAAGAUAAAUUUUUUAAAAAAAAUAUAAUCAAACAACAGUUACUAAAAAGAAAUAUUAAUUAAAUCAACAGAGUCCAAGGCCCAUCUUUUGACAAAAAUUAUGUAGUUUUAUCUAUUACCCAAAUAUUUAUCCAAGCCCAAACUAAGAUGAGGAUCAACUUUGCCUCCACUAGACCUAUACCCUAUUUAGUAUUUCUAAAUUGUUGGUGCUUAUAAACCAUGAAAGGAAACAACUCUCUUCCAAUGUGGGACUAAAUGAAAGUAUAUUUUUCCUAUACAAACUCUACAGUUGUGGCUUUACUCAUUAUGUAAUACUAAGAGUAAUUUAUAAAACAUAAUAAUCUUUCAAUUUGAUUCUAGAAGUCGACAAGAAAAUUUGAAUGGUGGAGAAAAAAAUAAUGUCCAACCAAACUGUAUAUUUAAUUAAUUGAGGCUUGAACUAGCGGUUAGGUCUCGUUUGAUGACUAGUAUUGGAUUGGAUUGGAUUAGAUAACUCCUUAUAUUUAAAGCAUAUGUUUAAGGAACAAAUGAAAAAAAUAUAUAAAUUAACCAAUUAGUUGAAGGUAGAAGAUGGAUUACUCAUGAAGAAAACUUAUCCCAUCUAAUCCCCACAAAAUUGUAGGAUAGCAACACUUUCUAAUUAAUCCCUCCUAAUCCCCCCAAAAUGGAAAAUCAUUCACAUCUACCUUCAUUUCCUCCUUCACAAUACCUUAGAUUUAGUGACUUAUCCAAUCUAAUCCUAAGUGAGCAAUCUUGAGCUGGAAUUGGUGAAGUUGUCGUCGUUGUUGUUCGUUUAGGAGAGAGCAAAGAGAGAAGGGAAUUUCGAAGGGAUGUGCAUGGUGGAUUUAGUCUAGACAUUUCGAAGUAUAUACCUUUUUCUCACAAUUCUUUGGUUUGUCUAUCACGUUAUUUGGAUGUUAAUUUAUGAGUAGAAUCAAAGGUUGUUCUUUUCGACUUAUGAUUUUAUUUCUCGUCUUACUCUGCCAAUUCAAAAUUGGAGAUUCUUAAGCACUGUUUCAACUUCUGGAUUUUAUUCUCACGGAGGUUAAUGUUUUGCUUUUUUAUUGUUUGAGCUAAUAUUCAGUUUUUAUUUCUAAUUUUGAGCUCCGUCUCUAUUUCUGUCCUAGCAAUUUGUAAACAAUCAAUUGGUUUGAAGUUUGUUUUUUCUUGCCUGAAUUAUGAGCUUUUUAUUUUUGUUGUCAUGUUUUUUCUUGCCUGAAUUGAAAAAACUUAAAAGGAAACCUAAUGAUUUCCCUGUUUUUUUUUUCUUUGGUUAAGUUAUGACAAUAGGGAACAACCGCAUCAAGAUGGCUCAUUUUUUCCAGCAUCGUCUUCAUUGUCUGGAAACGUUGGUAGUACCAAACAAGAUAUUUACAACUCUAACAGAGAUAGGCAUAUGAAGAUUAAAGGUCAUGAUGGAGAGUUCCUUGGAUGAUGUUUCGAACUCUUAGUGAGUAGUGGCAAAAGAAAUUCAGCUUUACUCAAUCCAGUUUCUUUAUCUUUGACUGUUUAUCUACUAAAUUAUUGUUCAAGGUCUAUUGAACAAUAAGCAAAGAUUGUUCAAGGCAUAUCUUGCUUGAUUUCUUUGUAGUUAAGUAAGGAACUGUGGAUGCAGUUAGUUGUACUGUGUAUAAAAUGGAAUAUUAUUUCUCUAAAAAUCUGCGUUGUUGAUGAUAAGCUAUCUAGCCCUUGCUUAUUUUUUGGCUAUAGAUUUAAAGGAGAUUAUCCAGAGCUUGCAUAUAUCAGUUUUGUCCAAACAAAAUCAAAAGUAGUUGUAGCAUGUUGAUUAUAUCCAUCCAGGAGUCAGAGAGACCUCCUUUAACUUAGACGAAUCAGUUGGCAAAAACCAUCUCUACAAGCACAUAAGGAAAAACCCUUGUGAAAAAAGCUAGUGAGGAACAAAUGAAAUAUUUCUACUUCCUGUACAAAAAUUGAUAACUUUAAACAGAGUGCUUCCUCUACAAAUGCUUCAUAACCAACAAAUAAAUCGAUCUUGCAUGUUUUCUACUUCAAAUCUUCUCCUCAUAUGGUUGCUCUACUGGCAUAAAUGAAAAUCCAAGCAUUCCACAAGCCACACAUGCAAAUAUCCACGAGCCGACUUGAAAAUCAUAAACUAGAAAGUUUUAAGCAUAGAGAAUGCUACUGGAAUUCCUCAAUAAAGGAGGAAUCAAACCAGAGUAGGAAGGCUAGCUUAGUAAAGUUAGUCUUCAUUCACCUUUCCAUGGUUCCCCAUCCAUCUGCAUAUAUGCACACUAGUGUUGAGUACUCCUCGUGCAUGGCUGCUUCCAUGGUUCCCCAUCCAUCUGCAUAUAUGCAUUUCUCCGCUCCCCACCUCUAAUUUCUAACUGAAUUGCAGCAGCCUAAUACCAAUGUAAUUUGUUCAAUACAUGAGCAAAAAAUUUCCAACAUAUCAAAUCACAACGCAUGCAUAGAUCUUAAAGAUCAACAAUAGCAAGCACUCUGAUAUUACAGCAACAAUUGAAAUAAUCCAUACUAAAAGCCCUUUGCAAAACCCCAAUUGAAACAAUCACAGCAACAAUUUUGUUUUGUAGUCGUAUAAAUUACCCUUUAGAACCCAUUACAACAUGAUAUUGUCAUAUUUACAAAAGAAAAGACGUCAUGAUCCGAGAACCACAAGAAAGCUCCUCCACAACAAUUCAUAUGCAAAAGCCAAACUUGCAUAAAAGAAUAAAUAAUCACACACAUGAAAAUAGAUUUCCAAGAAUAAUAUGCUUAUACUACAGUACUGAUUUCUAAUAAUGAUAUGCUUCUACUGCAGAUUUCUAAGAGUAAUAUGCUUUUUGUUUUUGUCAUGUGAAUUACCCAUCACAACCCCUAUAAAAUUUAACCAUUACAACCCAUAUCACCCGUAUAAAGAAUUACCCAUUAGAACCUAGACCAAACCUAAACACAUAAACCCCAAAUUGAAGCCCCAAAGAGAAAAUUUUGAAACAAUCACAACAAGGGAUGCACAUAUCUGUUUCAGUUAGAAAUUUCGCGCGGCUAUACUAUUUAAAAUGUAUAGUGGCGAGCGAAAUAAAUUAAAUUCAAAAUAGUAUAGCCACGGGGCUAUACUUAUGCGUUCAUAAUCAUAUUAGUGAAGUACAUACUUUUUUGGACAUUAUAAUUGGAUAGGCUUCCUAAUUUGGGGUUUGUACUAAAAGAGCCCCUUUUUCACGGCUGUAAUGAGUUUUGAAAUUUUUUUGACAAAAAACAUGUGUUGACACGUCGCUCCAAAUGGUUGGGGGAACUUUUUUGUAUCAAAAAUUGUAUAGCCGCGCGGCUAUACUCAGUUUUGAAUUUUUUUCAAAAGACAAGUGUUGACACGUGGCUCCAAAUGGUUGGGGGAACUUUUUUGUAUUAAAAAUCGUUUAGCCGAGCGGCUAUACUCACUUUUGAAUUCUUUUUAAAAGACAAGUGUUGACACGUGGCUCCAAAUGGUUGGGGGAACUUUUUUGUAUAAAAAUAGUAUAGCCGCUCGGCUAUACUCAGUUGUGAAUUUUUUUAAAAAAGAUAAGUGUUGAUACGUGGCUCCAAAUAGUUGAGGGAACUUUUUGUAUUAAAAAUAAUAUAGCCACCCGGCUAUACUCAGUUUUGCAAUUUUUUUUAAAAAACCAUGUGUUGACACAUGGCCCCAAAUGGUUGGGGUCUUUUUUUGCAUUUAAAAAUGUAUAGCCGCGCGGUUUUGAAUUUUUUUUAAAAAACACAAGUGUUUACACGUCGCUCCAUAUGGCUGGGCGACCUUUUUGUACUAAAAAUAGUACAGCCGCCCGGCUGUACUCUAUUUUGAAAUUUUUUCAGACGUGUUGACACGUGGCUCCAAAUGAUUGGGGGACAUUUUUUGUAUAAAAAAUAGUAUAGCCGCUCGGCUAUACUCAGUUAUGCAAGUUUUAUAGAAACAUGUGUUGACACGUGGCUCCAAAUGGUUGGGGGACCUUUUUUGUAUUAAACAUAGUAUAGCCGUCCGGCUGUACUCUCCUUAGAAUUUUUUAAAAAAAUAUCUGUUGACACGUGGCUCCAAAUGGUUGGGGGAUCUUUUUUUGUAUUUAAAAACGUAUAGCCGCGCGGCUAUACUCAGUUUUGGAAUUUUUUUUUUAAAAGACAAUUGUUGACACGUGUCUCCAAAUGGUUGGGGGAACUUUUUUGUAUAAAAAUGGUAGGCUUAAAUGCUAAAAUGGUCCCUGUGUUUUAGUCCGUUGGCCAAUUUAGUCUAUGUGUUUUCAAUUUGGCUAAUUUGGUCCCUGUGUUUCAGACCAUUAGCUAAUGUAAUCCAAUCCGUUAAACUUUUGUUAAAAUAUUAAUAAAAAAAAUAUAAAUAUUUGAAUUCAAUCUAUAAAAUAAAUAAUUAUGAAAUAAAAAUAAGAUUUAAAAGCUAAAAGCAAUUAAAAACCAAAGGACAACACCAUUUCAGCAACACCCUUUCUCCCUAGUAACAACUCACCCACACGCAAAAACCCCAACUCCCCAAGCCACAGCCACCCACCCCACCCCUCCCCUAGUUUUAAAUUAAUUUCAACAAAAUUUAUAGGUUUUCAAAGGAAGAAGAAAAAAGAAAAAGAAUUAUCAUGUUUAUUUAACGGUAAUUUUAACAGAAUGGGCUAUAUUGGCUAACAGUGCUAAACACAGGGACCAAAUUGGCCAAAUUAAAAACACAUGGACCAAAUUGGCCAACAAGAUAAAACACAGGGACUAUUUUAGCUAAGCCAAAAUGGUAUAGCCGAGGGGCUGUACUCAGUUUUGAAAUUUUUUCAAAAAAAAACAUGUGUUGACACGUGGCUCCAAAUGGUUGGGGGCCCUUUUUUUGUAUUAAAAAUAGUAUAGCCACGCGGCUAUACUCAGUUUUUAAUUUUUGUUGAAAAGACAAGUGUUGACACUUGGCUCCAAAUGGUUGGGGGACCUUUUUUGUAUUAAAAUAGUAUAGCCGACCGGCUAUACUCUAUUUUGAAAUUUUUUAAUAAAAAACAUGUGUUGACACGUGGCUCCAAAUGGUAGGGGGACUUUUUUUGUAUUAAAAAAAGUAUAGCCGCCCGGCUAUACUCUAUUUUGAAUUUUUUUAAAUGUGAUGACACGUGGCUCCAAAUGGUUGGGGGACCUUUUUUUUAUUAAAAAUAGUAUAGCCGCGCGGCUAUACGCAGUUUUGAAUUUUUUUUUUAAAGACAAGCGUUGACGCGUGGCUCCAAAUGGUUGGGGGCUCUUUUUUGUAUUAAAAAUCGUAUAGCCGUGCGGCUAUACUCAGUUUUGCAUUUUUUUUGAAAAACAUGUGUUGAACGUGGCUCCAAAUGGUUGGGGGCUCUUUUUUGUAUUAAAAAUCGUAUAGCGCGCGGCUAUACUCAGUUUUGAAUAUUUUGUAAAAAACAUGUGUUGACACGUGGCUCCCAAUGGUUGGGGGACCUUUUUUUGUAUUAAAAAUAGUAUAGCCGAGCGCGCGGAGUUACUGCAACUCCGACUAUAAUUCCAGGGAUGACCAGAUAAAAGAGUAUUCUGUGGCGCCAUUUCUUUGUGUCAAGGGUGCUGCUGAUGUUGCUGUGCUGCUACUUGCACACUUUUGUUAUGUUAUGAACUUUUUGUGUGCAUGUUCUUUGAUGCUGGUUUUGAGUGCUUACCCAUGUGUUCUUCAUGUGAUUUUAUAAUAUAAUUCUUCACGUUGAGUUCAAACUAGUCUCAUUUUACACCACAUCAAUGGUUAGUGAGAUACACAACUAGUUAAGCCAUAAUAACUAUAUUUCAUUACCAAUUUGCACUCUUCAAACAUGGCCAUCUUCAAUUUACACAAAGGGAUCUCAUGAGGAAAAUCUAGUGAAUUUAGGGGGCAUUCAACUGCCUCGAGAUUGAUAUUUAUAUAGCUACUUUUACAACGAGCUAAGCCUAAUCUAGAUAUAUCGAAUUCAAAUAGUCACUAUUUCAUACAAUCUCUUUAAUAUAAAGAGGGCUAUUUUAGAAUAGAAAUUGUGAAAAAUGGUUAUUUUGUACCAUUUCACUGCUAGGUUUGCACUCAAGUAUUGUAAUAUUAAUGGCUUCCAAGGAAGAAACAUUUUUGGGAUACGUCUUGUCACAUGACACCAUUGAAGCCAUUAAUAUAUGGGAACGACAUAUAUAGAGAAUCUUUUAAAUAGAUAUAUUAUUGGAAUUCAUAAUUAUAGAGCAACAUUUAAAUAAAAUUAUUUAUAUAAAGAAAAAAUGAAAAGCUAGCCAGUUUUUGAAAUCACCCGUAUGUAUAGCGUUUAUAGUUCUUUGCGGGGGAACAUUAUCAACAGUUGGGUUCAUAGCUCAGUGGUAGAGCAUUUGACUGCAGAUCAAGAGGUCACCGGUUCGAACCCGGUUGGGCCCUUUCAUCUAUUUUUUAAGUCUACAUUCAUAGAUCAUUUUUGCUUCUACAUUCAUAUAUACUAGCCUCUCCGCACUUCUACAUUCAUAAAUCCAUUAUCUGAUUUUUCUUUUAAUUUUAAUUUUUUUCAAUAUAAAAAAGUGUGAAUUUACCAUAUUAUCCUCAUUUAAUUAAUAAUUUCAAUUCUUAAUGUUUGCAUUAACCAAGGACAUUUUAUGGUAUUUUGAAUGUUUCACCAUUAUCUGUCUUUUACUUUAUAUAUAUAGAUAUAUAAGCUAUUUGCUUCUACUUUUAAAUAAAUUAGUCUUUUUCUAUUAUCACAAUCGUAAUUUUGUUUGAAUUGUGUUGUAAAAUGAAAUUCAUGGUAACCAAAAGCAUGUAUGAUUGAAAAAUUAGAAGCAAAGACGACCAUUGGAAGAUUUACAAAAAUCAAAACUCGGAUGAAGUUGUGCUCUAGUACUCGAUAGGGAUUGAUGGGCAACCGCUCGACGACCCCAUUGAUUAAGCACAACUCCAUACUCCAUGUGGAAGCUCAUAUUUUUAAUCUUUAAAAAGCUUUAUACACUCUUGUAAAUGUAGCACUCUCAUCAUUAUCACUAGCUCCUUCGCACAUGUAUGUUAUUUCGUUUUUUUAUUUAGAAUUAAAAAAAAUUAAAUGAGUAAUUGUGUUCAAUAAAAAUACAACCUAUGUUUUAUUUUAAAAUUUAAAUUUUUGUUAAAAACAAGAGAGCUUCUUAUGUUGUUUCUUUCCAAAUAAAAAUUAUUUUGCAUAAUAUAUGUAAAGUUUUUGCUUCUUUUGUUGGGGGUAAAAAGAACACCAUGAACCUAAAACACCCUAGUGGAGCUCCCUAACUAGGGAUGGCAAUUUUCCCCCGGGUAAAGGUCUUCGGGGGAAUUCAACCUUAAUGGGUCGAGUAUGAAGGAUAAAAAAUGGGUAUGGGAACGGGUACGGGGAAUUUGUUGGGUAUGCUGUUCGGAGAGAGACGAUAUAUAUAUAUAUAUAUAUAUGGGUUAGGAUCGGAGGACAUACAUAAGACCACACUUUUUUACACACAUCUUCAGCCCUUAGAUCUAUCCCAAUCUAAUGGUUCAAAAUUCAUUUAAGAUGCACUUAACUUUGCAUUUAUUACGUUAUUGGCAAUAAACACAAACUUCUAAAACUCCUCUCUCUCUCUCUCUCUCUCUCUCUCUCUCUCUCUCUCUUAUUUUUUUUCUUUUAGUUUUUAUAUUUAAACCCCACACUUCUCUUUGUUCACCCCAUAUUCUAAGUUCACCUUAACUUCUAAUUCAAAUUUUCACAGUUCCUAAAAAAACCUCAUUAUCUUCCCAAACUACCCUUAAAUACACACUCAUUAGAAAUAUAAAAAAUAUAAAAACUCAUCAACCUCACACCCCACACCCCGCUAUCUUGCCCUUCGCCACUCUAAAUUUAUCUCAACCUCACAUUACUUAAAGAGAUAAAAACACUGUUAUCAAAUGUGGUAGUAGCAUUAUUAUGUUAUUAUUAUUAUUAUUAAAAAUUUGUGAUGAACUAGGAGGUUUUGAUAGAGAAGAUGAGACUGUAGUUGGUUUUUUGGAUUGAAAGAGAAUACUAAUCUGACAAUAGGGUGUAGAGGAUUUUGUGUUUUUCUAAAACUUAAUAUGAAGAGUGGUGGGUUGUGUGUAUAGAUAUAUUAGGAUUAAGUAUUAAGUUGGAUGACGUUUUUUGUACGACUUGAUUACCCAUCUCCCUGUGCAGCUCUGUUCCUUCCGCAACUCCCUCUGUGAUAUUCUCUUAACUUGAAGCCAUGAUGGUACAUAAGAUGCUUGGAAAAUAUCUUAUUGCACUAAUUAAGAUAACUAUAGUGAGAAUCUCCCUUACAUAUUCAAUGAAAUCCAAUAGGGGAUAUGAUUUUGGGCUACAAGUUCUCGGAUUUUCAUGCUUAUCUAAAUUUCAACUGUUAUACUUUUGUAAUCUAAUCUCUAGCAUAUAUCCCAUAUUGGUGUUGAGGGGAAAUAUUACUAUUGUUGUAUUUUGUUUAAUUUGAUAUAUCCUUAGUGUUAGAGAUAUAUGCUAGAGAUUAGAUUACAAAAAUAUAACGGUUGAAAUUGUAUCCCCUAUUAGAUUACAACAACUGUUUUAUUUUUGUAUAAAUUUUUGUAAUAUAACAUUUUUCCUAAAUAUCCUCCUUAGUGUUUCAUUUUGUUUCUUUGGUGUUGUGGGGGGAAGAACUUAGGACUGCAUGAGAAAAUUAAUUGUGUAGGGCAAUAACUAAAAAAUUGAAAACUCAACAUUUUUUAACUAAUUUAUAAAAAUAAACAUAAUUAAAAAGACAUGUUCUCAAUCAAUAAUAAUAUUAAAAAAACAACCUAGCUAGAUGAUCUAUAUGAUCAAUUAAAAAUAAAAUUCUAAAACAUAGAAGAACAAUUAAAAAGAAACCUAGCUAGACGAUCUAUAUGAUCUACCAAUUCAAAUAACUAAUUAAGCUUUGGAAGGCGCCUUGGGUGGAGAGCUUUGAUCAGCGCAACUUUGUCUAAGGGCAGGAACAUAAUAUCUAUUGUUGAACUGGUCUAACAUCACUCCAAAACAAUUCUGAUCAAUUCCAUCGAUGGCAGCGCAACAAUCUGGUCCAAUGCGACUAUAAUCGCCAGUUAAAAGUGCAGAAAUGAGGUCUACCACUAAUCUGUCUAUGUCAGUUAGUGAUGACCAACAUUUUUCAUAAUCUUCUUGCGUUGGUGGCUUCCAUGUUGGCAGUGCUGGAACUUGUGGUGGCAGCUGCGCGACUGGUGCUGGUGGCGGCGGUGGUGUCAAAGGCGGCCCAAGGUAGAACCAAAGUCGUGAGACUUCCUUCGGAUGUGCCUCAUGAUCAACAUUAGGGUUAUGUCUCCCUAACGCUACAUUGAACAGCAAUGCCGAGCACACAAAAAGCAACACAAUGGGAAUUGAAAUCUUCAUAUUGAUCAAUGAUAUUAUGCUCUCAAAUCAAUUGCUCUCGUAGGGAGGGCUUUUUAUAGUUUAUCAAGUAGAGUUGGACUGGUUUACAACCUACGCUUGCAUUUUUAUGUAAAACACUCAAACACUUAUCAAAUUAGUACUUCAUUUUAAUCGUACUUCUACUCCGAACUAAUCAAAAUGGCAAAAUGGUUUCUAAUACGUAACCAAUAUCCCGUGAUUAAAUGUUAAAACAAACUAGAUUAACACUAAUUGGUAUAUUAAUGUUCAACUUCUGGAUGAUCCCAUUUCUUCGCAUAUACAAUAUAAUUAAAACCAAACUCUCGUACAACCUUAUAAAAAAACAAAUCAACUUUUUGAUAUGCACAACUAAACUUCUUACAGUGUGUUUGGAUGAGGAAAUUUAAAAGUAUGAAGGAUUUCAUAAAUGAUGAAAAUUCAUGUUCUAGAAUUUGUGAAGUUUCUUGUUUGGGUGACUGAUUUAAAACACGAAAUUUAACAUUUAUUUGUAAAGUUAUAUUUUUUAAAAACUCAAUAUCUCUUGGGAUUUUUUAGAAAUGAUAACUUUUAGAUAGAAUUUAAAGUUGGGAUUUAUGAUCUCCAAAUUCCAUGUUUUUUCUCAUGCGGAAUUUCUAAAUUUCUAUGUUUUUUUUAUCCAAACACAGGAAUUGGUUCAUGUCAAUUUAGAAAUUAUGAGUUUUGUCAAAAUCCCAAAUUUAUUUCCCUCAUUCAAACGCACCAUUAGUUAUUUUAAUAAAAUAGCAAUAGUAUUUUAUUGAUAAGAAAACAAGUAAAAAAAGGUGGAGCUAAUUGUGAAACCCUAGCCCCCUUUCUCCCAAAAAACACUCUUAGAGCCUUUUCCACUUUGAGGGGAUUGUUCUUCCCCCCCUCUCCUCUCUUCUCUUCCUCUCUUCCUCCUUUUACCUCUUCCCCCAUUUUCAAAGACAAAGGGUUUUCCCUAUUUGUCUUAGAUUUGUUAUGAUUUUCAUCCAAUCAUUAUUGGCGGCUGCGGCUCAGCGUCGGAUCUUCACAUGCAUUUCGGCGUCGGAUCUCCACCACCAUCUUUUUUGCAAUUUCUUUAUGUUUAGAAUAAGUUGCAGAGACUCUUUGAGUUCUCUGUGUAGUUUUCACAUCUCCUUUUGUGAGAGUUUUUCAUCUCUCCUUUGUGAGAGCUUUUCAUCUCUCAUUGGUGAGAGUUUUAUUUGUAUUGUUAUGGCAUGGUUUUUUUCAAGCUUUAUCUCUUUUUUAUCAUUCUAAGUUUGCAAUCUUAGUUGGGAUGCCUAUGCCACAGUUUCUUCGAUCUUGCCUGAUCGUUGGUGGAGACAUACCUGAUUUUCUUAAUUUUGAUAUUAGACCCCUCCGUUAUUGUAAUGGCCCUUUUGUGGCUAGUUUGUAUUGGCCCAUUGUGGCUAGUGGCUUUUUUGGCUGAAUUAUGAAUGCAAUCAUAGAAUUUCUCAACAAAAAAAAAAAACAAAGCAACUAAAAUACUGAAUAUGGAUAUGCAAAACAAGUUUAACUUAUAAGCAUAUGUUGAUUGUGUCGUUUUAUCCUACUUAGUUCAAUCCCUUGGCCAAAAAAUUGCGUCAUAUUUUUAGUGUGGAUGUUUUUGAGUUUAGUAAAAUCUCAUCCAACAACAUUACUUAUAUUUUAUUCGAUGGCGUCCAAAUAAACAAUUGUGUAUUAGUAGUUUCUUGAUAUCCAUAUUUUAUAAUUCCAACAUCAACUUCCAGAUGUAUAUUUCACACUUAUAUAUAAUAAUAAAACUAAAAAAAAUUUCAAACAAUUAUAUAAUUAUAUUCCAUUGUUGAAAACUAAACAAGCUUAGUUCAUGACCUAAUCAAGCUAAUUAGCAUUUUAAAAAAGCUAACAACUCCUUUAAUUAAGAUAAUUCCUGAGGCAGUGACCCAUUAGCAUUUUUAAAAAGCCUAUCACUUUGUUAUAAGAAACAAUAACAGUGACUCUGUGACGCAGGUUGCACAAUAAUUUCAGGUAAAAAAUUGGGAUUACCUUUUUCUAGUUGCCUCAUAGGCUGUCCGCACUUACUUUUUGCGUUCCAUUAUUAUCUUUUUCUCCGGCAUAUUAUUAUGUGUUACGGUAAUAUCAUGUGACAUAUGUUAUGUGUCGUUAUAAGUUCAUUCAAAUUAUAAUAUUUGUAAAAUUGAAGAAUUGCAUGCAUACUUAUUACUAAAUCUUUUGCUAUAAACUCUAAAAUUAUAUGUGUGUUAUAAUAUAGGUUUAUGAGAAAAUCUGAUGUCUCACGAGGAGUAUAUUUCUUUACACUUAUUAUGUGACAAGUGCUACAAACAAAGGAAUAUAUCCCAGAUUGCAUGUAAGAUUCCCUCAUAGACAUAAAUUUUAUGUGCGAUAUUGUCGAAAAAGUAUCGAUAACAUAUCGAUAUAUUUUGUUGCCGAAAAUAAUAUCGACACAUUAUACAUGAUAUAUCAACAAUCAUUUUUAAUAAAAAAAAAAAAAAAAAAAAAAAAAGAACAUCUAAACUAGUCGGACUACUCUAAUAAAUUUAUAAUUCCACACAUAUCACGGUAUGUUACCGUACUUAGUAAAAAUAAAGAAUAAUAGAAAAAGAACAAACAAGUUCCAAGUUGUAGACUUAUUUGGCAGUUGAACAGAUGAUUAUUCCCCGGAAUACUAUAUUCACUCUCUAGUCUCAACUGCAAGUUGUAAAAAAACUUAAAAAACAACUAAUGGAUUCCAUGGAAUCAUACCGACCCCGCAGAUUAUUACCAUUACUGAAUCCUUCUCUUCCUCUCAAAAUCUUUGUUCCUAGAGAGACAACUUUCCCGGAAAACGAAAGAAAAAUCACUGCUUUCCCAGAAACUGGUCGAGCCAGAAGAGGAAAGCCAAACUCAAGCCAUUCCGCCAAAGUCAAAGAACAUAGUGGACGACAGAGAAGCUGCGCUUAUGGAGUUUGAUCUUGACCUCGAUGCUUUUUCUGACCGUCCUCAAUUCAGUUCCUGUGAGUUUUUCAUACUGGGUUGUGUUCUUUUGUUUUUUUCUUUUCUGGGUUGAUCAGUUUUCUGUCUUACCAUUGAAUUUGGUUUUUCUGAAUCAGAAAUCUUUUAGAAAUUUGUAUGUUCACUGUGAUAAUCAUAGAACUCAGCUGAACAAAUGCUUUCCUGGGCAGUGUUCGAAAAAUCGGCCUAGGCGGCUAGGCGGCCGCCUAGGCGGUCGUGUCCUUUUAAUAAUUUUUUAUAUAUAUAUAAAUAGAUUUUUUUCCUGACUUUAAACAUUUAUUUGGUAUUGAGCAAUAAAAUUGUACUGUUAGAAUUAAACAACAAAAUAGUUAAGGGUCAAAAAGUGUUUCCUUUACUCGUUUCUCAAUUCUCUGCAACUAAAGAGACCUUGAUAUACUGAAAAGGUUGCAUUUUUACAUUCCUGCUGGGCCAGGAAUUGAAUUCGGAGACCUUGGUUCCUCUGAAAUGAGUUCUCCUUGUUCAUUUAUCUUUGUUUAAUUCUAUCUGGUCUGAAUAUUCUUAGAAUUUGAAGUCAACCAUCUAAAAAAUAAAAAGUUUAUGGGAACUUUUGUCUUUUUGGCCUGAAAUUCCUAGGAAUUGAAAACAAAUUUCGUUGGCUUACUUUCUGAUAUCCGGUUACAAACCACCAAACAUAUUGCUUCAGUUAGCAUUUUGCAGUUGUUGAGGUUCAGUCAUUUGAGUUUUCUCUCUUAAAAUAUCACAAAACUGCAGGUAUUCCUGAUCCGGGAAGGGAAAUACCAAGAGAGAAUGAGGACAGAAGAAUGCUUACAUCCCCCUUUUUGGGACUGGAACCUGUUGAAAAUCCUAAUGCUUAUUGCUUAAUUAAAGAGAAGAUCACUCAAGCUCUGAGACAGCUCAAGGAAUUGACUGACCAACAUGUUCUAGCUCAGUUUUGGGCACCAGUGAAGAAUGGGGGUCGGUAUGUGCUCACAACUUCUGGGCAACCCUUUGUUCUUGAUCCUCAUACUAAUGGACUUCAUCAGUAUAGGAUGGCUUCUCUGAUGUAUAUGUUUUCUGUGGAUGGAGAGAGUGAUGGAAUGCUUGGGCUCCCUGGCCGUGUUUUCCAGCAAAAAUUGCCAGAAUGGACCCCAAAUGUUCAGUACUACUCCAUCAAAGAGUAUCCACGGCUUGGACAUGCUCAGCAUUACAAUGUUCAGGGAACCUUAGCUUUGCCCGUGUUUGAACCCUCUGGACGGUCCUGUGUUGGUGUUCUUGAGCUCAUAAUGACUUCUCCGAAGAUCAGCUAUGCUUCUGAGGUUGAUAAAGUUUGCAAAGCACUUGAGGUUGGUUUAUUAUUUUAUUUUCUGAGCAUAUAUUAGUAUUACAUAUUGUGUCAUGCUCUUAUUUAAACAAGCUUAGUGUACUUACUUGGUAAAUUGAUGGCUUUUGUUUUCAUUUGAAUACUAAUACGGUUAUAUGAGUGAGCUUCAAACAUGAAGAGGUUUGUCAGUGAAAAAAUUUCAUUUCUCCUGCAGGCAGUAAGUCUGAAAAGUUCAGAGAUAUUGGAUCAUACAAGCAUGCAGGUGAGCAGCAAUAACAAUGUGUGCCUAAUUUGGUGUUCUUUUGGAACACAAGAAAGUAAAUAUGGAUUUCUUCUAUCAUUUCCUCCUCCUCCAUUCUCAAAGAUAUAUGCUUGGCACUUCUUGUAACCAGAUUCAAAUAUGCAAUGAUGGUCGCCAAACUGCAUUGACGGAAAUCUUGGAGAUACUGACAGUGGUGUGUGAAACUCACAAAUUACCGCUUGCUCAGACCUGGGUUCCUUGUAUGCAUCGCAAUGUUUUGGCUUAUGGUGGUGGCCUGAAGAAGAGCUGUACUAGCUUUGAUGGUAGUUGCAUGGAACAGGUCUGCAUUUCCACAACCGAUGCGGCCUUCUACAUCGUCGAUGCUCCUAUGUGGCAUUUUCGAGAGGCCUGUGUUGAGCAUCACUUACAAAAGGGUCAAGGGGUUGCUGGGAGGGCAUUUUUGUCCCGUAACGCAUGCUUCUGCAGAGACAUUACCCAGUUCUGCAAAACUGAUUACCCUUUAGUACACUACGCACGCAUGUUUAAGUUAACCAGCUGUUUUGCAAUCUGCUUACAGAGCACUCAUACUGGAAAUGAUGAUUACAUUCUAGAAUUUUUUCUUCCCCCGAGCAUCACAGACAGUUAUGAACAACAAACUUUGUUGGGCUUCUUAUUGGCAAUAAUAAAGAAUCAUUUCCAGAGUCUCAAGGUUGCUUCUGGAAUUAUACUUGAAGAGGAAGGGCUUGUCGAAAUGGUUCAAGCUUCUACAAACAAGGGACUUGACUCAAGACUUGAAUGUAUACGUAUACCCCGUUAAGCGGAAACACAACCAGGGCCUGCCUUACCUAAUGGAGAAGAGAUGGUGCAGCUAGAUUCUCCUUUAUUUUAUUUUAAAUUUUAAAUUUUUGUUAAAAACAAGAGAGCUUCUUGUGUUGUUUCUUUCCAAAUAAAAAUUAUUUUGCAUAAUAUUUGUAAAUUUUUUGCUUCUUUUGUUAAGGGGGUAAAAAGAACAACAUGAACCCAAAACACCCUAAUGGAUAAAAAAUGGGUAUGGGGACGGGUACGGGGAAUUUGUUGAGUAUGGUGUUCGGGGAGGGAUGGAGAUGAUAUUUGAAUCCCCAAUCUGAACCCUCCCCGUUUAGAAUAUAUAUAUAUAUAUAUAUAUAUAUAGUCUCCUUCUAUCGAGAGACACCCUUUAGGGUUCCCUACGAUUUUUUUUUCUUCAACUAUCCAAACUAUUUUUUUUUUAUUUUUUAAAGUAUGCAUUCAUAGAUCAUCAUUUGCAAAAAAUUAGACAAAUCGGAAACCGUUUCGAUAUCCAAUUGUGUGUUACAAAAUCAAUGAACGCUCAAGAAAGUACUAAAAUUUCAAUAAUUCAAUUGAGUGGUCCAAUGAUAUCAAAUUCAAGUGAUUUUUUGUAUAUAUUAUCUUUAAAUGAUUAUUUACAAAAAAGACGAUUUAGAUUAGUGAAAUACAAUCUAGAGUAGGCCCUACAAGGGGUGUCCAUCAAAUAAACUUAUUUGAGAAAUCCCUCAAUGGAAGCUAUAUAUAUAUAGGUCAGGAUCGGGGGACAUACAUAAAACCACACCUUUUUACACAUAUCUUCAGCCCUUAGAUCUAUCCCAAUCUAAUGGUUCAUAAUUCAUUUAAGAUGCACUUAAUUUUUCAUUUAUUACUUUAUUGGCAACAAAUACGAACUUCUAAAACUCCUCUCCCUCGUAUUCUUAAUUUUUUUUUAAUAGCUUUUCUAUUUAAACCCCGCACUUCUCUUUGUUCACCCCAACUUUUAAUUCAAAUUUUCACAAUUCUUAAGAAAACCCCACUAUUUUUCCAAAUUACCUCUAAAUACACACUCAACAAAAAAACAAAAAACACUCAUCAAUCUCACACCCCACACUCCGCUAUCUUGCCCCUCACCACUCUAAGUUCAUCUCAACCUCACAUUACUUAAAGAGAUAAAAACACCAUUAUCAAAUGUAGUAGCACAAUUAUUUUAUUAUUAACAAUUUGAGAAUGAACUAUGAGGUUUUGAUAGAGAAGAUGAGAGUGGAGUUGGUUUCUUGGAGUGAAAGAGGAUAGUAAUAUGACGAUAAGGUGUAGAUGAGUUUGUGUUUUUCUAAAACUUAAUAUGAAGAGUGGUAGUGUGUGUGUAUAGAUGUACUAAGGUUAAGUAUUUUAUUGGAUAACCUUUUAGAAACUCUUCUUUCUUUCUUUUUUUCCGAUUAUCUCUCUUAUUUAAUUUGAUUUCAUGUCUAUUUCCCAUACGACUUCAUAACCCAUCUCCCUGUGCAGCUCUGUCCCUUCCACAACUCCCUCUGUGAUAUUCUCUUAACUUGAAGCCAUGAUAGUACAUAAGAUGCUUGGAAAAUAUCUUAUUGCACUAAUUAAGAUAACUAUAGUGAGAAUCUCCCUUUACAUAUUCAAUGAAAUCCAAUAGGGGAUAUGAUUUUCAUGUUUAUCUAAAGCUCAACUGUUAUAUUUUUGUAAUCUAAUCUCUAGCAUAUAUCCCAUAUUGGUGUUGAAGGGGAAAUAUUACUAUUGUUGUGAUUUACAAGCUAUCAAUAAAUCCCCUAAUCUCUAGCAUAUAUCUCAGGCUCCUCUACAAGUUUAAUUUGAGAUAGUCCUACCCAUCAUAUUGCCAAGUUGAAGGGGAAAUAUUACUAUUAAAGUGAUUCUGCCGACUAAGUUUAUAUAUUUUAAGCCUAUAUAUUUAGUUAACUUCCACUUAACAUGUAAACAUUCUUAUAUUGUCUUAUAUAUGUGUGUCUAUAUAUAUAUAUAUAUAAUCAUUAUCUUGCUUUAGUCCCUUUUUUUUUUUUCCUUUCAACAAAGUAGUUUUAUAUUAAUUUUUUCUUAUGUAAUGGGGCGGGUCGGGGAAUCUAUUCCCCAAUGAAGGUGGAGAUGAGAUAUUGCGGGUAUGAAGGCGGGGAUGGGAAAAAAAGCUUAACGGGAAUGAGAAUGGCAUACCCAACCCCGAUUCGAGAUAUAGAUUAUUUAUUGUAAAUAAAAACUGAUGAAUUGAGCUGUGAUUAUUUAUGAUAAUUAACGGCAACAUUUUUCCUAAAUAUCCCCCUUAGUGUUUCAUUUUGUUUCUGUUAUGUUGUUCUCUUGUAUAUGUAAUAAUUUUAUGCAUACAAAAUUAUAUAUAUACCUUUUUGCAUUUGUUCCUUCUUUUGAGAGGAAGGACUUAGGACUGCAUGAGAAAAUUAAUUGUGUAGGGCAAUAACCAAAAAAUUGAAAACUCAACAUUUAACUAAUUUAUGAAAAAUAAACAUAAUUAAAAAGACAUGUAUUUAGUCAUUUCAAUUUGAGCAAGCUGUAAAUAUGCCUCUAAAUUAAUAAAACAAAGAAAACAAAAAACAAAAAACUACCUAGCUAGAUGAUCUAUAUGAUCAAUUAAAAAGAAAAUUCUAAACCAUGAAAGAACAAUUAAAAGAAACCUAGCUAGAUGAUCUAUAUGAUCUACUAAUUCAAAUAACUAAUUAAGCUUUGGAAGGUGCCUCGGGUGGAGAGCGUUGAUCAGCGCAACUUUGUCUAAGGCCAUCUCCAACCCAAGGACUCAAACCCAAAAUAUUGCCAAAAACCUCUCCCAACCCAAGAAAAUGAAAGACCCAAAAUUUGGAAAAACCCAAAUUUGGACCCAAAUAUGGGUCCAAGUAUUGCCUGGACCCAACACAAUUCAAUGGAGCCCACUGCACAUCUCAACAGCCCCAUGUGCAAAGAUUCCUUUGUGGCCCCCACCUUCAUUUUUGCUGCUGCCAUCUUGUCUUCCACAAGCGCCACUUGUCAAAGCCCCAUUGAGUUGCCAUUGCAACAUUUGAAAUUAUUUGUUGUUCGUUUUUUUAAAAAUUUUUAAUAUACAUAUAACUUAAAUCAACGAUGGGGAUUAAAUCUAAGCUAUUUUAAUGGUAAAAAAAAAAGAUCCAACAACUGAAAUUUAAAUCCAACUGUCAAAAUAAUAUUUUAAAUUAAUCUAGAUCAGAUUCAACCCAAAACUCACUCUAAACUCUACAAAUACCCAUCCAUUUAUCAAAUAAUCUACCCAAAAUAUUUUAUCUAUUUCUCAAUUUAUUUUUCCUUUAUCAAUCUCAUCAAUCUCCUUUCUUUUAGAAUUAUGUUGUGUGUUUUCUUUUGAAAUAAAAUUAUAUUUGUGGAAUUUUAAUUUUUUUAGGUUAAAUUGUUCAAAAAAUUUAAUUAUGAAGUUAUUUAAAAAGAUUGAAUGAAGAAAAGUUAUCCAUAAAAAAAAAAAAUUAGACUUAAACCAUUCUUAAACAAUUUAAUAAAGUUGCGGACUUAAAAUUUGAGUCCGUAGGGUUGGGAGAAAAAACAAUUUGAGUCCGGGCAAAACCCAAAUAGUCACUUUUUGGAGGGGGGGAAUUUGGGUUUAGCCCAUCAUGAGUUGGAGAAGGCCUAAGAGCAGGAACAUAUAAUAUCUAUUGUUGAACUAGUCUAACAUCAAGCCAAAACAAUGUUAAAUUCAGAGAGGUGAGUCAGCCGCCCACUACUAACAACACCAAUAUUGUCCCCAACUUAACCACUUACAAAGCCCGAUAGGUGUGAGGUUUUAUCACAAAAGGUCUCGGUGAUAUUAGUAGGGGAACCAUUCAUUAAAUAUUUUAUUUUAUUUAAUCAAGUUUUCGAUGUGGGACUCAUUCUUCAACACGCCCCCUUACAUGAGACCACCACAUAGCAGGCCACAUGUUGAGCCAAGUUCACAUUGAAGUCAAACAUUGAAGCCGUUGAGGUAAGGGUAAAGGCCCAAUUCAGGCGCAGUCAAUCAACCCGCUCUGAUACCAAGUUAAAUAAAGUAGUGCAAAAAUUCAGAUAUGCUCAUAUUUUUAGUAUUCUCCAAUAUGAAAGUAUUUAUACAAGUACAAAGAUACCGCACGCCCAACUUGACAAGCGAGUCAUAAACCACAAUUGAAACAACUGACAAACCCAAAAACCCUGUGAGUACGGCAGUAGGUAAGACAGAACAAAAACCCUGUGAUACCAUGUUAAAUUCAGAGAGACGGGUCAGCGGCCCACUACUAACAACACCAAUAUUAUCCUCAACUUAACCACCUAUAAAGUUUAGUGGGUAUGAGGUUUUAUCACAAAAGGCUAGGUGAUAUUAGUAGUGGAACCUUUCAUUAUAUAUUGUAUUUUAUUUAAUCAAGUUUCCGAUGUGGGACUCAUUCUUCAACAAACUUAUCAAUUCCAUCGAUGGCAGCGCAACAAUCUGGUCCAAUGUGACUAUAAUCGCCAGUUAAAAGUGCAGAAAUUAGGUCUCCCACUAAUCUGUCCAUGUUAGUUAGUGAUGACCAACAUUUUUCAUAAUCUUCUUGGUGGCUUCCAUGUUGGCAGUGCUGGAACUCGUCGUGGCAGCUGCGCAGCUGGUGCUGGUGGUGGCGGUAGCGUCAAAGGCAGUCCAAGGUAGAACUAAAGUCGUGAGACUACCUUCGGAUGUGCCUCAUGAUCAACAUUAAGGUUAUGUCUUCCUAACCCUACAUUGAACAGCAAUGCCGAGCACACAAAAAGCAACACAAUGGAAAUUGAAAUCUUCAUAUUGAUCAAUGAUAUUUGCUCUCAAAUCAAUUGCUUAUGCAUGUUACUCUCGUAGCGAGGUCUUUUUAUAGUUUAUCAAGUAGAGUUGGACUGGUUUACAACCUAAGCUUGCAUUUUUAUGUAAAACACUAAAACACUUAUCAAAUUAGCAGUUCAUUUUAAUCAUACUUCAACUCCAAACUCAUCAAAAUUACAAAAUGGUUUUCAAUACAUAACCAAUAUCCCGUGAUUAAAAGUUAAAACAAACUAGAUUAGCACUAAUUGGUAUAUUAACGUUGAACUUCUCGAUGAUCCCAUUUCUUCGCAUAUACAAUAUAAUUAAAACCAAACUCUCUUACAACCCUAUAAAAAAACAAAUCAACUUUUUGAUAUGCAUAACUAAGCUCUUUGGUUUUUUUUAAAUAAAAGAGCAAUAGUAUUUUUUUAUAAAAAAAUAAGUAUAAAGCAACUGAAAUACUGAAUAUGAAUAUGCAACAAGAAGUUGAACUAAACUUCUUAUAAGCAUAUGUUGAUUGUGUCGUUUUAUCCAACUUAGUCCCUUGGCUAAAAAAAUUGCGUCAUAUUUUUAGUGUGGAUGUUUUUGAGUUUGGUAAAAUCUCAUCCCACAACAUUGCCGAAUAAACUUGAGGUCCAAAUGAAAGAUCAGAUACGCGGCUUUGUGAACCGUGAUUUCCCCAAAAGACAGGAGGAGCUCAUACCUGCUACCAAACAAACAGAAGCUGCUGGAAGACAAGUGGACAAGUGUGGAUGUGAAUCCAUAUAAGCCAACCAAAAUCGGUAAUUUCUAUUUGCAGAAAAAGUAAACGUAUUGAUUUUGUGUCACCAAAUUAUUAAUUAUGGUAAUUAGCAUCUAAAUUAUUGAUGCAGUGGAUUUGUCAUUGUCACUAAUGGAUCCAAUUAUAUCCAAAUUGUUUAUAUUUUAUUCGAUGGCGUCCAAAUAAACAACUGUGUAUUAGUAGUUUCUUGAUAUCCAUAUUUUAUAAUUCCAACAUCAACUUUCAGAUGUAUGUUUUACACCCCACAUUCUGCUAUCUUGUUCCUCACCACUCUAAGUUCAUUUCAACCUCACUUUAUUUAAAGAGAUAAAAACAUCAUUAUCAAAUGUAGUAGCACAAUUAUUUUUUUAUUAUUGUUAUUAUUAAAAAUUUGAGAAUGAACUAGGAGGUUUUGAUAGAGAAGAUGAGAGUGUAAUUGGUUUCUUGGAGUGAAAGAGGAUAGUAAUAUGACAAUAGGGUGUAGAUGAGUUUGUGUAGAUGAGGGUGUAGUUGGAUGAUCUUUUUUGUCUUUUUACAUAAUAAUAAAACUUAAGAGUUUAAUUAUUUAAGUAUUGAGGUGAACCAAAAAAAGUGUGGAGUUUAAAUAGGAAAACUCUUCUUAUUGUUUUUCGAUUAUCUCUCUUCAUUAAUUUGAUUUCAUGUCUAUUUCCUAGCAAUCUUAUUCACUCUCUUCCUCUACGACUUCAUAACCCAUCUCCCUGUGUAGCUCUGUUCCUUCCGCAACUCACUCUGUGAUAUUCUCUUAACUUGAAGCCAUGAUAGUGCAUAAGAUGCUUGGAAAAUAUCUUAGGAAGAUUCACUAUAAUAUCCAAUAUAGGAACUGAAAUUAUAAAAAAAGCCUAUAUGAAAUGGACUUUAGAAACACACCCAAAAUCCAUUUAUAACAUAACAAAAAGGCUUUUAACUUUUUUUAAAUUACAAAACUGACAUUGAUCUUUUAAAACAAAACCAACCCAAAAACCUCAUAAAAAAGCCCAAAACACUCAAUAGGGCAUCAAAGUAAUUUAAUAAUUAAAAUUCAAUUCAAUAGGGCUAAUUAUCAUUUUUAGGGUAUGUUUAUAGAAAUUAAAUGAUGUAAGGUUUACUUAUAGUUUUAGUACUAAGAAUGGAUAUAUGACUAGCUAUCUCAAUAUCUUAUUUUAUAAUUAAGAUAACUAUAGUGAGAAUCUCCCUUUACAUGUUCAAUGAAAUCCAAUAGGGGAUAUGAUUUUCAUGUUUAUCUAAAGUUCAACUGUUACAUUUUUGUAAUCUAAUCUCUAACAUAUAUCCCAUGUUGGUGUUGAAGGGGAAAUAUUACUAUUGUUGUGAUUUACAAGCUAUCAAUAAAUCCCCUAAUCUCUAGCAUAUAUCCCAGGCUCCUCUACAAGUUUAAUUUGAGAUCAUCCCACCCAUCAUAUUGCCAAGUUGAGGGGGAAAUAUUACUAUUGUCGAUCCAUAUUAUAUAUAUAUAAACAUGCUAUUAACGUGAUUGUGCCGACUAAGUUUUAUAUUUUUUAUUAUUUAUUAUAUAUUUAUAUAAUUUAUAUAAAUUUUAAGCCACACUAUUUAUAUAUUUAGUUAACUUUCAUUUAAUAUGUAAACAUUUAUAUAUAUAGGGUAUUCUGAUGAAUUGCCCCCUGAACUUGUACAUAAUACUCAAUUUACUCCCUGACCUUUUUUUUUAGCGAAUUAAAGGCUCGAAUUAAAUUUUAUUAUCAAUGUUCCCCCACCGUCAAAAUUCGAACAUUUCAUCCAUUAGUCCGUCUAUUUGACCCACAUUGACGCUUGAUUGAGGGUUAUUUUUGUCAUUAGGCGCGGAUUGAAUUAGCAACCUCUCCUCUCUCACACACUUCGCACUUCUCUUUCACAUUGGUAGGGUAGGGUUAGAAAGGGACCGGUAUUUGGGCGGGAAAAAGGACGAAAUCAAAGGUUGGAAUCGAGGGAAUCUGAAAGCUUUUUCAUAAAGGUUCUUUUGGCUCUGUUGAUUCGACGCAGCAUGAGUCUGGAUGUGUUGCCUUUGCAGGUGCAGAACAGAGGGCCUCCUCCCAAGUACAGUAAGUAAUCGAUUUUCCCAAUUUGAAAUUGUUUAAGCUUGUGUGAUCCUUGGGGUCGGUUGUUUGCACAUUUUGUGGUGUUGUCUGAUAUGCUGUUUUGAAUAUGAAACACUUGUGGUCCCGAAGCAUUUGUGUUGUUUUGUCUGCAUAAUUAUCGGUGGACCUGAGUGAAUUUGAAGUUUAGAAUGGUAGUUGGGCAGUAAAGAAAAGUUGGUGUGAUAAAAUAGUGGUUUUAUAUAUAAUUUUCUGUUUUUUUUAAGUGAUCCAGAUUUGUUCUCCCUAGAAAUUCACCAUGGAGGUUAUAUUUCAGAGGGGAAGUAUGUUCAGGGUAAGGUUACUUGGGCAGACAACUGUAAUGCUGACCACCUGUCAAUGCUUGACCUGUUUGAUGUUGCUAUCUCUCUAGGAUAUGACCAUAAAAAAAUACAGUAUCACUACUGGAACAAAAUAAGGGGGUUUGUUCCAAUUGAAGUAGAUGCCCAUGUAGUUGAGUUUGUGGAGUAUACACCUACUUCUAGAGUUCAACCUUUAUAUCUCUCAUAUAAGAAUCAACCGCAUUUCCCAGAGAGCCAGGCAUUUGCAUCUACUCCACAAUUGGGGUUGGAAGUAGAAGUUGAAACUGAAACUGAUGUUGGUGAGUUGGGGAACCAGUUUGUAGAAGUGGAUGUUGAUUUAGAUGAUGAUGGUUAUGAUGAGGUACAUAAGGAGGGAGAUAAUGAGGCAGAUGACAGUGAAGAUGAUGAGGCUGAAGAUGAUGAUAGUGUAGAAGAGGCUGAAGAUGAUGACAGUGAGACAGACAUUGAGUUGAUUGACUCCGAGUUCGAGCAGUCAGAUGAAGAAGGGUUGAAGACAGUCUUGGAAGAGGAUGAUAACUUGUUUGAUAAACAUGUAGUUGAUGAAGAAAAUGAUGAAUACAAUGAAGAACCUGGUGAGGUUGACAGUGAAGACUACAAUACCGACGAUCUUGUAAGUCUUGAUGAAGAAUCUGAUGAGGGUGAAGGUGUGAAAAACCGUAGCCGCAGAAGAAAAGCUCCUAGAUUUAAGCAGUUUAGAAGAGAAUCUAAUUUGCUGAAGCCAACAUUUCAUUUGGGAAUGGAAUUUACCAACAUGGAGCAGUGUAGGGAAGCAAUAAGGUAUUAUGCAGUUUCAUGUGCAAGGCCAUUGAAGUGGGUGAGGAAUGAUUCGAAUAGGGUGAGGCUCAAAUGUGAAGGAGAUAAAAAACAAAAGGUUCCAUGUCCUUGGAUGCUAUAUGCUUCUCAUGUGGGGAAAGGUCCAAGUACAAGGAUUAAGACAUAUGUUCCAAGGCAUACAUGUGGAAGGAGGCAAAGAACCAAGUAUGCCACUUCAUCAUGGAUGUCUAAGAGGUUUGAUGAGGAGUUAAGAGAUAAUCCCAAUAUGAAAGUGACAGAUUUCAUGAAGUUAAUAAGGAAACAUUAUGCCAUAGAUGUAACUGAGGCUCAAGUUUAUAAAGCCAAGAGUUUUGCAAAAAAGAGAAUUCUAGGUAGUAUUGAAGAGCAAUAUGGUAAGUUGUGGGAUUAUUGUGAAGAGUUAAAGAGCAAUAACCCUGGAAGUACUGUUAUUGUGAAAACUGAAUUGCAAGGUGAGAAUCCUAUUUUCAAGAGGAUUUAUGUAUGUUUUGGAGCACUUAAAAAGGGAUUUGUGGAAGGAUGUAGACCAGUUGUGGGUUUUGAUGGGUGCCAUGUUAAGGGUUCUCAUCCAGGAUAGAUUCUAAGUGCAGUUGGGAUUGAUGGAAAUAAUAGGAUGUAUCCAAUUGCUUUUGCGGUUGUUGAAGUUGAAAAUACAGAGACUUGGGGUUGGUUCUUUGACAUAUUCUUUCAAGAUGUAGGUAUUGAAAAUGGCAAUGGAUGAGUUUUCAUUACUGAUAAGCAAAAGGGUUUGGGGAAUGCCCUUCAUGCUUUGAUGCCCAAUACUGAGCACAGGCAUUGUGUGAGGCACUUGCACAAUAAUUUCAAGCUUGCAGGCCAUACUGGUGCAGCUUUCAAGCAGAGGUUGUGGGCAGCAGCUAGGGCAACAACAAUACCUGUAUUUGAAGCUGAAAUGGAGCAGAUGUUGGGUCAAUCUCAGGCAGCUUAUAAGUGGCUUCAGGAGAGACCAGCUGCUCAUUGCAGUAGAUCACACUUUAGUACAGUCCCAAAGUGUGAUAUACUUCUAAACAACUUGUGUGAGUGUUUUAAUGCUGCAAUUCUAGAAGCAAGAGAUAAGCCCAUUGUUACUCUUUUGGAGAGAAUUAGAACCUACUUGAUGCUUAGAAUGGCUAGACUUAGAGAGACAGUGUGACCCCAUGAGGUUGGUCCAAGAAUAUUUGGUAUUGUGGAAAAGAAUUCAAUUGAAAGUGGCCACUGCAUAGCUUCGUAUGCUGGUGGGGGGAAGUAUCGAGUUAAUAGCAUGUUGGGAGCUAUGUUUGUUGUGGAUUUAGAAAGGCAUACAUGUACCUGCAGAAAAUGGGACUUAAGUGGAAUUCCUUGUCCACAUGCCUUGGCUUCAAUAGCAAAGAGUGAGCACAGCCCUCUGGAUUUUGUGCAUGCACUCUACAAAAGGCCGGCAUAUGAUAGGGCUUAUGAGGGCUAUAUAUCUCCAAUGCCUAGUCAAGCAUAUUGGAGAAAAACAGGGCAUGUACCUAUCAAGCCACCUGUUUAUCCCAUCCAACCAGGAAGGCCCAAACUUAGCAGAAAUAGAGAAGCUGAUGAAAUACCAAAAGGGGCAACAAAACUUAAAAGGUAUGGCAUUGUAAUGACAUGCCGCAACUGUGGACAAGAAGGUCACAAUUUUGCUGGCUGUCCCCAACUUGGACAGGUUAUAAUUGUUCUUAAUUUGUUUGUUUACAUAUUUCUUUUUGUUGAAAAUGGCUAUGUUAAUAUGUGAUUGGACUGUUUUUACUAUAUUAACAUGUGAUUUUGUUGUUCUUGACAAUGAAGGGGCAACCUAGAGGUAGAGCAAGAUGCGGUAGAAGGGGAAGAGGAGCUGUGAGGGGAAGAGGUGCAAGGGGAAAAGGAGCUGCAACUGGUAAUAGAGAUGUUGAUACUACAAGUGUCAAUGCAAGUGGAACAACUGCAAGUGGAACAACAACUGUCAGAGGUGUUAAGAGAGGCAGAGGUGUUGUCAGUGAACAACAACAAACUCAGGCCAGACCAAAGUUUAAUGUAAGUACUUGGAUUAUUGUAGUGUGCUUUGAAUCAAUCAUUGCAUUAUUGAAGGCUUAAGGGAUCUAUGCUUGGAACAGGUGAAAAGAGGAGCUCAGUCCCCCUAUGUCAUAAGGAAGACCAAUCUAUUUGCUGAUUCACAAGCUGGCCAAAGUUCACAAGCUUCUUCAGGACCUGCCCCAAGUUCACAAGCUCCUUCAGGACUGCCCCAAGUAAACAAGCUCCUUCACAAUCUGUCCCACAUUCACAAGGUCCUUCACAACCUGCCCCAAGGUCACAAGCUCCUCCACAACCUGCCCAAAGUUCACAAGCUCAUCAAGGUUCAAGUUCACAACCUCAACCUAUGGUAACUUCUCCAAAAAGGCCUAGGUUAAAAUCUCCAGCAAAACGAAUAAGGCCAUAGAGAGUUUAGUCAGCAAUUUGAAGUGAAUGGUUCAAGAGUUGUUAUGUUUAUUUUGGUGUUCUAGAUCAUCUUGGUUUGCAAUCUGUUUGCUAGUAUAUUGUUGAACUGAUUUUGAUAUGAAGUGAAUGGAUGAAGAUGUAUUUUUGAAACUGAAUUUGGACAAGCUUUUAUGUAAUCACAUGUGAAUUCAAAUGUUGUAUAUUUUGGCCUUUGAAGUGCAGUUCAUUUGGUGUGAUAGUUACUAUUUCAAUGGUCAAAAUGACAGCUUGCAUUUUCAUUCACCAAAACAGUUCUUACAUUGUCAAUUACACACCCUUUCUUACCCUUACAAAAAGUCAAUCACCCAUCUCUUUCUCACCAUUACAAAUUGCCAAUUACCCAUCUUUCUAACCAUUACAAAAUGCCAAGCACUCAUCCCUUUCUAGCCCUUACAAAAUGCCAACUACCCAUCCAUUUCUACAGCUGCCCAUUUGUGCCUUUAUCUUCAUUCAAAAUCAAGCACAAAAUAACCCCAAACAUGCACAAUGACACCCAAAACCAUGGGUUUUUCAGCUUCGAAUUCCCUUUCUUUUUUUCUGCUUCCAAACUGUUAAUUCUCCUCAGCAGUCCUGGAAUUAUUUGCUUAGAUCUAUUGCACAUAACAGGGUCACCCCACUCCCACAUUUGACAACGUUUCUGCAAACACACAGUUUUAAAAGGUGGAAAUUCAAAACUGCAAAUUUGAAACCCAAACUUCAAAAUUCAACUCACCUGCGCACAAACAUAAAAUCUUCGUCCUGGAUGUGAAGAGGUCCACGAAGUCUGAAUUUUUGCAACCUUCCCACAGUAGCAGACCCGUGAUGGCAAUAUCCAUGGAUUGCCAUCUUCCAACUCUGAACUCCCUCUAUGUGCGUUCGUCCUCAUCUCUAUCUCUCUCUCUCUCUCUCUCUCUCUCUCUCUCUCUCUCAGCCACCUUUCAGAUUCCCUCGAUUCCAACCUUCGAUUUCGUCCUUUUUCCCGCCCAAAUACCGGUCCCUUUCUAACCCUACCCUACCAAUGUGAAAGAGAAGUGCGAAGUGUGUGCGAGAGGAGAGGUUGCUAAUUCAAUCCGCGCCUAAUGACGAAAAUAACCCUCAAUCAAGCGUCAACUUGGGUCAAAUAGACGGACUAAUGGAUGAAAUGUUCGAAUUUUGACGGUGGGGGGAACAUUGAUAAUAAAAUUUAAUUCGAGCCUUUAAUUCGCUAAAAAAAAAGGUCAGGGGGUAAAUUGAGCAUUAUGUACAAGUUCAGGGGGCAAUUCAGCAGAAUACCCAUAUAUAUAUAGUCCCUUUCUAUAAAGGGAUCCCUCAAAUAAUUUUAUUUGAGGGAUGCCAUUUAGGGUACCCUACAAUUUUUUUUCCAAUGAUCCAAACCAUCUAUUUUUUAGGUCUUCAUUCAUAGAUCAUUCUUACAAAAAAUUAGACAAAUUGAAAACCGUUUCGACAUCCAAUUGUGUUCUACAAAAUCAAUGAACAUGGUACUUCAUGAAAGUACUAAAAUUUCAGUAACUCAAUUGAAUGGCCAAAUGAUAUCGGAUUCAAGUGAUUUUUUGUAGAGACGAUCUUUGAAUGUGUAUCUACAAAAUAGAUGGUUUGGAUUAGUGAAAUACAAUUCGGAGUGGGCCCCACAAUGGGUGUCCCUCUAAUAAGCUUAUUUGAGGGAUCCCUCAAUGAAAGCUCUCUGUAUAUAUAUAAUAUAAUCAUUAUCUUGCUCUAGUCCUUUUUUUUUUCUUUCAACAAAGUAGUUUUAUAUUGAUUUUUUCUUAUAUAAUGGCGCGGGUCGGGGAACCCAUUCCUCAAUGAAGGUUGGGAUGAGGAAUCCCCGAUAUGAAUAUUGCGGAUAUGAAGGCGGGAAUGAGGAAAAAAAGUUUAACAGGGAUGGAAAUGGCAUACCCACCCCCGAUUCGACCGAUUCCAUCCCUACCCGAGCAGAUAUAGAUUAUUUAUUGUAAAUAAAAACUGAUGAAUUAAGCUGUGAUUCAUUUUGUUUAUGUUAUUUUUUUAUCUUGUAUAUGUAAUAAUUUUAUGCAUACAGAAUUAUAUAUACCUUUUUGCAUUUGUUCCUCUCUCUUUUUUUUGGUGGUGGUGGUGGGGGGAGAGGAAGGACUAGGACUGCAUGAGAAAAUUAAUUGUGUUGGGCAAUAACCAAAAAAUUGAACACUCAACAUUUAACUAAUUUAUGAAAAAUAAACAUAAUUAAAAAGACAAAUUGAGAAGCUGUAAACAUGCCUCUAAAUCAAUAAAACAAAAACUACCUAGCCAGAUGAUCUAUAUGAUCAAUUAAGAAGAAAAUUAUAAAACAUAAAAGAACAAUUAAAAAGAAACCUAGCCAGAUGAUCUAUAUGAUCUACAAAUUCAAAUAAGUAAUUAAGCUUUGGAAGGCGCCUUGGGUGGAGAGCUUUGAUCAGCGCAACUUUGUCUAAGGGCAGGAACAUAAUAUCUAUUGUUGAACUGGUCUAACAUCACUCCAAAACAAUUCUGAUCAAUUCCAUCAAUGGCAGCGCAACAAUCUGGUCCAAUGCGACUAUAAUCGCCAGUUAAAAGUGCAGAAAUGAGGUCUCCCACUAAUCUGUCUAUGUCAGUUAGUGAUGACCAACAUUUUUCAUAAUCUUCUUGCGUUGGUGGCUUCCAUGUUGGCGGUACUGGAACUUGUGGUGGCAGCUGCGCGGCUGGUGCCGGUGGUGGCGGUGGCGUCAAAGGCGCCCAAGGUAGAACCAAAGUCGUGAGACUGCCUUCGGAUGUGCCACAUAUGAU
rnacentral:lncRNA from 1 species